AGCGCCUCAGAGAAGAUUUGGAAUCAUUACAAAUUGUACCAAGACUCAGACGUCAGGAUGGAGAACAUGCUGGAAUGUGCUUUCAUAGUUUUGUGGCUUCAGCUUAGCUGGUUGAGUGGAGAAGACCGGGUGGAGCAGAGUCCUCAGACCCUGAGACUUCAGGAGGGAGACAGUGUCAGCCUCAACUGCAGUUACACAGUCAGCACCUUUAACGGGCUACAGUGGUAUAGGCAGGAUCCCGGGCAAGGCCCAGAAUUCCUCUUUGUCCUAUAUGCGGUUGGUGAUGAGAAACAGAAAGAAAGACUAAGAGCCACACUAUUAAAGGAGGGAAGUUCUCUGCACAUCGAAGCUUCUAAACCUGAAGACUCAGCCACUUUCUUCUGUGCUGUGAAGACACAGUGCUCCCAGGAAGCCUGGGAGCUGUACCAAAACCCUGCAGUUGCAUUCUGGAAUAAGGGCAUCUCUGUUGUUCCUCUUCCUCAAGGAAGUACUUAG